rfam:Enterobacteriaceae bacterium symbiont of Ferrisia virgata isolate GEFVIR genome assembly, chromosome: I
UACAUUACUUAUUACGUUCCUUGCUUCCGUGGUCACUUAUUAAUCGCCCUAAUCGGAGGCUGAAUAAUCCGUAAGGAGCAGUUUUAUG